rnacentral:rRNA from 1 species
GUUGUAUAGUCAAGUAAUUAAGUGCAUGUGGUGGAUGCCUUGGCAGUCAGAGGCGAUGAAAGACGUGAUAGCCUGCGAAAAGCUCCGGGGAGGCGGCAAAUAUCCUUUGAUCCGGAGAUUUCUGAAUGGGGGAACCCACCUACUUUAAGGUAGGUAUUGCAACAUGAAUACAUAGUGUUGCAAGGCGAACGAGGGGAAGUGAAACAUCUCAGUACCCUUAGGAAAAGAAAUCAAUUGAGAUUCCCUCAGUAGCGGCGAGCGAACGGGGAUCAGCCCAUUAAGUUAUGUGUGUUUUAGUGGAACGCUCUGGGAAGUGCGAACGUAGAGGGUGAUAUUCCCGUACACGAAAGGGCACACAUAAUGAUGACGAGUAGGGCGAGGCACGUGAAACCUUGUCUGAAUAUGGGGGGACCAUCCUCCAAGGCUAAAUACUCCUGACUGACCGAUAGUGAACCAGUACCGUGAGGGAAAGGCGAAAAGAACCCCUGUGAGGGGA